rnacentral:rRNA from 1 species
UACGGAGGAUCCAAGCGUUAUCCGGAUUUAUUGGGUUUAAAGGGUGCGUAGGUAGCCUGUUAAGUCAGGGGUGAAAGACGGUAGCUUAACUAUCGCAGUGCCCUUGAUACUGAUGGGCUUGAAUGAACUAGAGGUAGGCGGAAUGUGACAAGUAGCGGUGAAAUGCAUAGAUAUGUCACAGAACACCAAUUGCGAAGGCAGCUUACUAUGGUUUUAUUGACACUGAGGCACGAAAGCGUGGGGAUCAAACAGG